rnacentral:rRNA from 1 species
GACGAACGCUGGCGGCGUGCUUAACACAUGCAAGUCGAACGGCAAGGCCCUGCUUUUGUGGGGUGCUCGAGUGGCGAACGGGUGAGUAACACGUGAGUAACCUGCCCUUGACUUUGGGAUAACUUCAGGAAACUGGGGCUAAUCCCGGAUAGCAUCUCCUGCUGCAUGGUGGGGGUUGGAAAGUUUCGGCGGUUGGGGAUGGACUCGCGGCUUAUCAGCUUGUUGGUGGGGUAGUUGCUGACCAAGGCUUUGACGGGUAGCCGGCCUGUGAGGGUGACCGGGCACAUGGGGACUGAGGUACGGAGCAGAGUGCUACGGGAGGCAGCAGGGGGGAAUAUUGCACAAUGGGCGGAAGCCUGAGGCAGCAACGCCGCGUGCGGAAUGACGGCCUUCGGGUUGUAAACCGCUGUAGCCUGUGACGAAGCGGGAGUGACGGUAAUGGGUAAAGAAGCACCGGCUAACUACGUG